CAAACAGUCUCUUCUACUGAACAGCUCGUAGAACAUUCCGCUGUCAUCAUAAAGAUGCUUCCCUCUGGCUCCAUGCACUGGAGAUGUGUCAUCCCAAGGCUCUUUGACUGGCACCUGACCUACAUUGAAGUCUUUGUUGCUCUCUCCCCCAUUCUACUGAGGGUGCAGUGGGCAAAUGGUUGUGUGGUGUGAACUGCCUGCCAGGAUAUACAUGCUCUUUGAACAGAAGCAUUUACUGCAGAUGAAGGAGUCAAAAAAAUUUAUAAGAGCUUCUCUAAUACUUCAAAAUGCUUAAUUCAAUUCUGCAUAAACUUCAUGGUGGUGCAUUUUAUUUCAAGUCUGAUGAAAUUAGUAAUGGAAAUGAACUUCAGUGAUAUAUUGGAAAGUAAUGUACAAAACACAGUCCAGAUACUACAUACCUCUUCUCUUUUUUUCUCAUUUGCUACUGUUAUUUAAAGCAUAGCCAGCUGCUUUCUUAACAGUUUGCAGACAUUACCUAAAGCAAUUAAGGAAGAGUUUCUGAGCCUGGUCAGUAAAAGGAGGGAUCUGAGCAACAUUUACAAAGAAAAUCAAAACCUUUUUUCCUUGUUCUAUAGACCUCGAUACAUCAGGGAAAGAGGAUGCCCUGCUGUAUUGAGAUAUCUACCAACCACUGAAAAAAAAAGCCCCAUGUAACGUUCUUCAUAAAUAUGAGCGAUAAGUAAAGCCAUAGUUUCAAUACAAUCAAAGAACUAGUCAUCCAGAAUUUGCAAAUGCUCACAGCUUAAUGUUUAUUUAAUUUACUUUUAAAUUAAUUUGGUCUCUAAUACAAUUAAUGUAGAGAGUAAGACAGGUCCCAUCCUUUCCCAGAAAUUCUGAAAGUGUGGUAUUUGAAAUUCAGUGAAUUCUAUAAAACCCCUAGGAUACUACAUCUACAAGUCUAUUACAGCCUGACUUAGCUGUUAGAGUAAUUGUCAAAUUUCCAUUUCUUCUAAUGCACUGUGAACAGUUUGAUGACGUAGGGCUGAAAUUAAAACAUUGCUUAUUCAUCACUAUGACUUUUAUUCUUGUUUUUAUUAAUGGUUAUUUUCUUCUAAACGAUGUAACUGUUUACAAUUUUACCAGAUUUUAUUAUCUGAGGCUAAAACUUCCAUGCUCAUUGGUUUUAUUUUGCUGGUCCUAAUAAAUGAAAUGUUUUUUCUCAUAA